rnacentral:piRNA from 1 species
AAACUGGUGGAGAUGUGAACUGAGGCAGUGU